UACGGAGGGUGCGAGCGUUAGUCGGAAUUACUGGGCGUAAAGCGUCCGUAGGCGGCUUGUUAAGUCUGAUGUGAAAGCCCUGGGCUUAACCUGGGAACGGCAUUGGAUACUGGCGAGCUAGAGUUCGGUAGAGGGUGGUGGAAUUCCCGGUGUAGCGGUGAAAUGCGUAGAGAUCGGGAGGAACACCGGUGGCGAAGGCGGCCACCUGGACCGAGACUGACGCUGAGGGACGAAAGCGUGGGGAGCAAACAGG
rnacentral:rRNA from 1 species